GUGCUUACCAUGCAAGUCGAACGGAAAGGCCCAGCUUGCUGGGUACUCGAGUGGCGAACGGGUGAGUAACACGUGGGUGAUCUGCCCUGCACUCUGGGAUAAGCCUGGGAAACUGGGUCUAAUACCGGAUAUGACCAACUGUCGCAUGGUGGUUGGUGGAAAGCUUUUGCGGUGUGGGAUGGGCCCGCGGCCUAUCAGCUUGUUGGUGGGGUAAUGGCCUACCAAGGCGACGACGGGUAGCCGACCUGAGAGGGUGAUCGGCCACACUGGGACUGAGACACGGCCCAGACUCCUACGGGAGGCAGCAGUGGGGAAUAUUGCACAAUGGGCGCAAGCCUGAUGCAGCGACGCCGCGUGAGGGAUGACGGCCUUCGGGUUGUAAACCUCUUUCACCAGGGACGAAGCGUGAGUGACGGUACCUGGAGAAGAAGCACCGGCCAACUACGUGCCAGCAGCCGCGGUAAUACGUAGGGUGCGAGCGUUGUCCGGAAUUACUGGGCGUAAAGAGCUCGUAGGC
rnacentral:rRNA from 2 species